rnacentral:misc_RNA from 1 species
GGUGUUCAGAUUUUAGAGCAAGCAUUCACAAUGGUGCUUCCUGAAAGGAGGCGGCACAGUCAUCAUUUGGAGUGUUUGUUCAACUUUUACAUGAGGAUGCUUUGCAGACAUCAUCAAGAAAUGAAGCUGUCAAAAUUAUGGGAAUAUAUAGUGACAGGACUGGAUAUAUAUCCAUGCAGUCCGAAUCUUUAUAAUGCAUUAGUCGAAAUUGGCCAUCUCUAUGCGUCACCUAAUAAGCUACGGUGGAUCUUUGAUGAGAAAUUCCAAAAGAAACCUUCACUUGUUGCUUGGCUCUUUGCAUUAUCAUUUGACAUGAGUAGAGGUGGUACAGAGCAUAGAAUACGCAGACUUUUUGAGAGGGCAUUGGAGAAUGAGAA